rnacentral:rRNA from 1 species
AGAGUUUGAUCCUGGCUCAGGACGAACGCUGGCGGCGCGCCUAACACAUGCAAGUCGAACGAGCGAGAGAGAGCUUGCUUUCUCAAGCGAGUGGCGAACGGGUGAGUAACGCGUGAGGAACCUGCCUCAAAGAGGGGGACAACAGUUGGAAACGACUGCUAAUACCGCAUAAGCCCACGGGUCGGCAUCGACCAGAGGGAAAAGGAGCAAUCCGCUUUGAGAUGGCCUCGCGUCCGAUUAGCUAGUUGGUGAGGUAAUGGCCCACCAAGGCGACGAUCGGUAGCCGGACUGAGAGGUUGAACGGCCACAUUGGGACUGAGACACGGCCCAGACUCCUACGGGAGGCAGCAGUGGGGGAUAUUGCGCAAUGGGGGCAACCCUGACGCAGCAACGCCGCGUGAAGGAUGAAGGUUUUCGGAUUGUAAACUUCUUUUAUUAAGGACGAAAAAUGACGGUACUUAAUGAAUAAGCUCCGGCUAACUACGUGCCAGCAGCCGCGGUAAUACGUAGGGAGCAAGCGUUGUCCGGAUUUACUGGGUGUAAAGGGUGCGUAGGCGGCUUUGCAAGUCAGAUGUGAAAUCUAUGGGCUCAACCCAUAAACUGCAUUUGAAACUGUAGAGCUUGAGUGAAGUAGAGGCAGGCGGAAUUCCCCGUGUAGCGGUGAAAUGCGUAGAGAUGGGGAGGAACACCAGUGGCGAAGGCGGCCUGCUGGGCUUUAACUGACGCUGAGGCACGAAAGCGUGGGUAGCAAACAGGAUUAGAUACCCUGGUAGUCCACGCUGUAAACGAUGAUUACUAGGUG